rnacentral:misc_RNA from 1 species
CAGCUGGUCGGACAUGGCCGACAGCGAAUUCGAGGAGUUCCACAGGCCCAUAUUUGAGCCACAUACGAUUGCUGGAUUCGGUUCUGGAGCAGGCAGCAAGAAGAACAAUCCCCAUGCAUUUUACUCUUUAAUUCCCAACGAUGACCUGGAGGACUCGCACUCCUCGAAGAGCGAUGGCGACGGCUCCGAUCAGGAGGAUGGCAUGGGUCUCGUGGAUCACGAGCCCAAGAUGCGUCAGGUGGAGGACGAUGAGCUGGGCGACGGCCUGAAAGUCACUCUGUCCUCGGACGGCUCACUGGACACCAACGACUCUUUUAACUCGCACCGGCAUCAUCCGUUGAAUCACCAGGACGCGAUUGGUGGCUUCCUGGGCAUGGACACCAGUGGAUUGGGUGGCAACAGUGCUCCUGUGACCAUUGGAGCCAGCACAGAUCUGCUGGCACCCAACACAGCUGCCACACGACGUCGUCGCAAGUUGCCGGAGAUACCGAAAAACAAGAAAUCUUCCAUUCUGCAUCUUCUAGGUGGCUCCAACUUUGGCUCCCUGGCGGAUGAGUUCCGCAACGGUGGUGGUGGAGGUGGAGGAGUACCGCCAGUAGUUCGCGGUGGACAACAGCGCUCAUUUCUGUCCCUCAAGUGCGGCUACUUGAUGGACGAGGACUCCAGUCCGGAUUCGGAGAGGAUGCAGAGUCUGGGCGACGUGGACAGUGGUCACAGCACGGCGCAUUCGCCCAACGACUUCAAGAGCAUGUCGCCGCAGAUCACGUCUCCCGUUUCGCAGUCCCCUUUCCCGCCGCCCUUCGGGGGCGUGCCCUUUGGCCAGCUGGAGAUGCUGGAGGCCACGCACCGCGGGCUGCACAAGUUUGUGCCGCGGCACCACGACGAGAUCGAGCUGGAGAUCGGCGACGCCAUCUAUGUGCAAAAGGAGGCCGAGGACCUGUGGUGCGAGGGCGUGAAUCUCCGCACCGGAAGGCAGGGCAUCUUCCCCUCGGCCUACGCCGUGGACCUGGACUACAACGAGUUCGAUCCCACAGUGCAGCUGGUGAAGAAGGAGCGCUACCUGCUGGGCUACCUCGGAUCCGUGGAGACGCUGGCGCACAAGGGCACGGGAGUCGUUUGCCAGGCGGUGCGCAAGAUUGUCGGCGAGUACGGCAACUCGCCCACCGGACAGACCUGCAUCCUGGAGGUCUCCGACCAGGGACUGCGCAUGGUGGAUCGAUCGGGCCCGAAUCAAAACAAAAAGGACAAGAAGCCGUGCAUCGACUACUUCUACUCCCUGAAGAACGUCUCCUUCUGCGCAUUUCACCCUCGCGAUCACCGCUUCAUUGGCUUCAUCACCAAACAUCCCACGGUGCAGCGGUUCGCUUGUCACGUCUUCAAGGGCUCCGAGUCCACCAGGCCGGUGGCCGAGGCAGUGGGCCGUGCUUUCCAGCGAUUCUAUCAGAAAUUCAUUGAAACCGCUUAUCCCAUCGAGGACAUCUAUAUUGAGUAGGCUUGCGGGGGCGGUUUGUGCUUCUAGACGAAGGCGAAUUCAUUAAUCAAUACGAUACGAUAUAUUUUUUGUGCGGUUAUUACGAAUAAAAGCAAAGAUAAGUCUCAAGUCUCAAGAAAUAUUUGCUCUUCUUCAAAGAGAAUCUUAAAGCAAAUUCAAUAAGCUCGCAAUAGAAACCCUAGCUAUAGAUUACUCUCAUUUCUCCGUUGCUAAAUACCAUUCUCGGCAAGAUCUUAGACAUGUAAAUAGUUAACUUUUGUUCAAAACUCAAAACUCCCACUUUACACUAAAGCUUCAAGCAAUCAGCAAUAGUUGCCCCUUAUAGAAACACCCUUACACUCGAGUACAUUGCAUAUACACAGAGGCACAACCAAGCACACACACGAUGAGUUGAACUCCCUGAAAGAAAAAUUACCUUGAAGAGCCCAAUUUCGUAUCGGAAAGUCAGUAGCUCAGUUGGGUCUGAAUCUAUUGUAAAUCGGAGACAGCCAAUCUAGAUUGGUUCCAGAUAUCCAGACCCCACUGUGAGCACAUCCCCAUCCUGGCAAUGCACAAAAUAGAUUACCAGACUCAACAAUAUCGAACAUCAGCUGCUACGUUUUGAAGUAUUCUCAAUUAAAGCCCAGUUUAUGAUGUGUAAACCUUUAAAGUUGUGUACACGCAGGCGAAUAUAUACUGUACAUGUAUACAAACGAAAUAUAUAAAGAACCUAUAAAUCAAA